rnacentral:lncRNA from 1 species
UCUCUCCCCAAAACCAUGGCCACCAUGAAAGCCUCCAUAGUUGCCUGUCUCCCUGCCUACGUGUCCAUUUAAAUCUCCUCCUAUAAAUAACUUCUCCGUCUGAGCAAUUCCUUGCACCAAGUCUCCAAGGUCUUCCCAAAAUUUCUCCUUCAAACUCGUAUCCAACCCUACUUGAGGUGCGUACGCACUAAUCACAUUGAUGAGUUCUUGUCCUAUUACAAUCUUGAUUGCCAUGAUUCUAUCUCCUACCCUACAUCUUGUGUCAAGGUCUUGUCCACAAUGAUGCCAACACCGUUUCUCGUUCUAUUUGUGCCCGAAUACCAAAGCUUAAACCCUGAGUUUUCUAAAUCCUUUGCCUUAAGACCAACCCACUUAGUUUCUUGUAGGCAUAUAAUAUUUAUCCUUCUCCUCACCAUAACUUCCACUACUUCCAUAGAUUUUCCCGUUAAGGUUCCUAUAUUCCACGUUCCUAAAUGCAUUAUACUCUCUUGAACUCUACCCUUCUGUCCUAGCUUCUUCACCAUCCCCCGUCUAAUAGGAUCAAAGUACUUCUUUUGUGUGUCCUGUGUAAAGUUGAUAGAAGC